UACGAAGGGGGCUAGCGUUGUUCGGAAUUACUGGGCGUAAAGCGCACGUAGGCGGAUAUUUAAGUCAGGGGUGAAAUCCCAGAGCUCAACUCUGGAACUGCCUUUGAUACUGGGUAUCUAGAGUAUGGAAGAGGUGAGUGGAAUUCCGAGUGUAGAGGUGAAAUUCGUAGAUAUUCGGAGGAACACCAGUGGCGAAGGCGGCUCACUGGUCCAUUACUGACGCUGAGGUGCGAAAGCGUGGGGAGCGAACAGG
rnacentral:rRNA from 1 species